UCCCGUCAAAUGUAUGGUUAAAUAUUAUACGUCACUUCCUCUUUCUUUGGAAACUUUACUCGUGUGAAGUUCCAUUUUGACGAUGAGGGCAAAGUGGAGAAAAAAGCGAAUGCGAAGGUUGAAGCGCAAAAGGAGGAAGAUGAGGGCAAGAUCCAAGUAGACGUUCGUCCAUUCCUUUGUUGUUUAACAAACCUAAGCCGAUCGCCCACCUUAGCGGAACAAGUCAGCAAGUGUGUCCCUAGUGUUUCAGCGUGGUUAGGACACUAUCCAGGCUCAACAUUUUAAAUACUGUGGCGUGACACUUUGACAAAAGACAGGCCCGGUAUCAUGGUCAUCAACAGUAGCAGCGGCAUCAUCAGCAACAGCAGCAACAUAAUACUGCGGUGUGAACUUCCACAAAGACAGGCCCAGUAUUGUCCUCGUCCAUGGAUGGGCGGUUGUAGCAGUACAGCUAACACUGCAGUGUUGGUCCUUGAUGGAAGAGGACUUUGUGUCAUCUCAGUCUGUACAGCUUUAGGAUCGAGAGAACCUAUGCUUACAAACUUGGGGACAUUCUGUAGUUUAGAUCCAUACUAUAUCCAGUCGUCGUCGUGAUACAUGGAUGGGGAUUUUGAGAAGAAGAGAGAUAUAGAGAGGAAGAAGAAAAGUGUGUGUGCGUCUCUGUAGCAGGAGAGGCAACACAUCUAUACCAUACUUGUUGCCUUUGGUCCACUUUGGUUUGUUGUCCAACAAUUAAAAAUAGAAAUAAA